AAACGACUCUCGGCAACGGAUAUCUAGGCUCUCGCAUCGAUGAAAAACGUAGCGAAAUGCGAUACUUGGUGUGAAUUGCAGAAUCCCGCGAAUCAUCGAGUUUUUGAACGCAAGUUGCGCCCGAAGCCUUUCGGCCGAGGGCACGUUUGCCUGGGUGUCACGC
rnacentral:rRNA from 1 species